rnacentral:rRNA from 1 species
UACGUAGGUGGCGAGCGUUAUCCGGAUUUAUUGGGUUUAAAGGGUGCGUAGGCGGCUUUAUAAGUCGGUGGUCAAAGGUAGCAGCUUAACUGUUUUACAUGCCAUCGAUACUGUAGAGCUUGAGUUGUUUGGAGGCAGCUAGAAUUUCCGGUGUAGCGGUGAAAUGCAUAGAUACCGGAAGGAAUACCGAUUGCGAAGGCAGGUUGCUACGAACACACUGACGCUGAUGCACGAAAGCGUGGGGAUCAAACAGG